GAUGAACGCUGGCGGCGUGCCUAAUACAUGCAAGUCGAGCGAACAAACGAGGAGCUUGCUCCUCUGACGUUAGCGGCGGACGGGUGAGUAACACGUGGAUAACCUACCUAUAAGACUGGGAUAACUUCGGGAAACCGGAGCUAAUACCGGAUAACAUGUUGAACCGCAUGGUUCAACAGUGAAAGACGGUCUUGCUGUCACUUAUAGAUGGAUCCGCGCCGCAUUAGCUAGUUGGUAAGGUAACGGCUUGCCAAGGCAACGAUGCGUAGCCGACCUGAGAGGGUGAUCGGCCACACUGGAACUGAGACACGGUCCAGACUCCUACGGGAGGCAGCAGUAGGGAAUCUUCCGCAAUGGGCGAAAGCCUGACGGAGCAACGCCGCGUGAGUGAUGAAGGUCUUCGGAUCGUAAAACUCUGUUAUUAGGGAAGAACAAAUGUGUAAGUAACUAUGCACGUCUUGACGGUACCUAAUCAGAAAGCCACGGCUAACUACGUG
rnacentral:rRNA from 1 species